UUCGCCCUUAGAGUUUGAUCCUGGCUCAGGACGAACGCUGGCGGCGUGCCUAACACAUGCAAGUCGAGCGAGUGGAGUUCUUCGGAACAAGGCUAGCGGCGGACGGGUGAGUAACACGUGGGCAACCUGCCUCAUAGAGGGGAAUAGCCUUCCGAAAGGGAGAUUAAUACCGCAUAAGAUUGUAGCUUCGCAUGAAGUAGCAAUUAAAGGAGCAAUCCGCUAUGAGAUGGGCCCGCGGCGCAUUAGCUAGUUGGUGAGGUAACGGCUCACCAAGGCGACGAUGCGUAGCCGACCUGAGAGGGUGAUCGGCCACAUUGGGACUGAGACACGGCCCAGACUCCUACGGGAGGCAGCAGUGGGGAAUAUUGCACAAUGGGGGAAACCCUGAUGCAGCAACGCCGCGUGAGUGAUGACGGCCUUCGGGUUGUAAAGCUCUGUCUUCAGGGACGAUAAUGACGGUACCUGAGGAGGAAGCCACGGCUAACUACGUGCCAGCAGCCGCGGUAAUACGUAGGUGGCGAGCGUUGUCCGGAUUUACUGGGCGUAAAGGGAGCGUAGGCGGACUUUUAAGUGAGAUGUGAAAUACCCGGGCUCAACUUGGGUGCUGCAUUUCAAACUGGAAGUCUAGAGUGCAGGAGAGGAGAAUGGAAUUCCUAGUGUAGCGGUGAAAUGCGUAGAGAUUAGGAAGAACACCAGUGGCGAAGGCGAUUCCUCUGGACUGUAACUGACGCUGAGGCUCGAAAGCGUGGGGAGCAAACAAGGAUUAGAUACCCUGGGUAGUCCACGCGGUAAACGAUGAAUACUAGGGUGUAGGGGUUGUCAUGACCUCUGUGCCGCCGCUAACGCAUUAAGUAUUCCGCCUGGGGAGUACGGUCGCAAGAUUAAAACUCAAAGGAAUUGACGGGGGCCCGCACAAGCAGCGGAGUAUGUGGUUUAAUUCGAAGCAACGCGAAGAACCUUACCUAGACUUGACAUCUCCUGCAUUACCCUUAAUCGGGGAAGUUCCUUCGGGGACAGGAAGACAGAGUGGUGCAUGGUUGUCGUCAGCUCGUGUCGUGAGAUGUUGGGUUAAGUCCCGCAACGAGCGCAACCCUUAUUGUUAGUUGCUACCAUUUAGUUGAGCACUCUAGCGAGACUGCCCGGGUUAACCGGGAGGAAGGUGGGGAUGACGUCAAAUCAUCAUGCCCCUUAUGUCUAGGGCUACACACGUGCUACAAUGGCAAGUACAAAGAGAAACAAGACCGCGAGGUGGAGCAAAACUCAAAAACUUGUCUCAGUUCGGAUUGUAGGCUGAAACUCGCCUACAUGAAGCUGGAGUUGCUAGUAAUCGCGAAUCAGCAUGUCGCGGUGAAUACGUUCCCGGGCCUUGCACACACCGCCCGUCA
rnacentral:rRNA from 1 species